CUCCAGAGGUGAUGCUCUUGAGCUUAUCAACCUUCCUGCAACCAGCUAAAGGUGUGCAUCUACCACUGUGAGAGGAGGAACACGUAUGCUUUAGGAAAGGACCCCUGUGGUAAGAAUGACAAGCUUAGGCUAUGAGCCAGGGUUUAUACAGUUGUUUCUGAAAUUGGUUUUGAAAGCACGUGACAAUAGAAACUUGAUUACGGGACUGUACCUCCUUGUCCUGGAGGGAAAGAAACCCCACUUGGUUAUUGUAGAGGUGGUUCACCUGAAGGUAAAGACACCGCCUGGAAUAAUCUGCAGAUUGGUGUUUCUGUUUGUUGAUGCCAUAUUAAACAGAAUAACCAAGCGUGCUGAAGUGCUGACCCUUGAGUUUUUCCUCAUGACCACAAGGACAAGGAAAACGCUCACUCUUCAGAAUGGGGCUCCCAUUCUCAGGCAAUCAAGUGGAGCUGGGGGCCAGGAAAAUGUGGAAUUCUGCAGUGCCCACAGCGUGAUGCCAGAGCUGCAGCAGUGAGCACAGCAAGGAUGCCAGAGCUCCAGUUUUCACAUGAGGAGGAAAGACCAAGGUGAUCACAAGGCUGUGCAGAAGUGGUGGGUGAUGGCUUCCCCCUCUCCUCCUGAAUGCAGGACUGACCUAGGAGGACUUUUGCCUUCAAAGGCAGAAAGCUCUCUUCUGGGGACUGCUGGAUCAGCCCAUGUUGAUCCACUGGUUGGAGCAUCCUGACAAAAGGCUGGUGGCAUGAUGGGCUAUUGAGGGCCGUCACUUCAGUUCAUCAUGAAAGCAGUGAGCUGGAGCAAAGGUCAUGCCCUGCCAAGCCUGGCCUGUUUGCCACUGAAAUCCCCACCAGCAACUGUUCCUUUAAUGAUCUUUGUGACAGGCAGAGAGAGUACCAUUGUUUGCUUAGUUUGCUUUAGAAAUAGGCUUCUAAAUUUGCAAAUGACAGUUUGUUGUGUGUCUGAAAUUGGGUGCCCUGGGGUGUACCAGAGCACCAGUAACCGCAAAUGUGGCACAAGCUCGUGGGGACAUGGGAAGUGGCAGCACUAGGGAUGUUAAUGUGAUUAAAUUGUGUACAACUCAAUUAACUUCUCUUUUCCUCCCAUGGUAGGUGGCAGACCCAGUUGGUCGCAGGCUGCUGGAUGGAGCUGUCGCAUCCAAGGUC